rnacentral:rRNA from 1 species
AAUGAACGCUGGCGGCAUGCCUUACACAUGCAAGUCGAACGGCAGCAUGACCUAGCUUGCUAGGUUGAUGGCGAGUGGCGAACGGGUGAGUAAUGCAUCGGAACGUGCCUUUUAGUGGGGGAUAACGUAGCGAAAGUUACGCUCAUACCGCAUAUUCUCUGAGGAGGAAAGCAGGGGGCCUUCGGGCCUUGCGCUAGAAGAGCUGCCGAUGUCGGAUUAGCUAGUUGGUGUGGUAAAGGCUCACCAAGGCAACGAUCCGUAGCGGGUCUGAGAGGAUGAUCAGCCACACUGGGACUGAGACACGGCCCAGACUCCUACGGGAGGCAGCAGUGGGGAAUUUUGGACAAUGGGCGCAAGCCUGAUCCAGCCAUGCCGCGUGAGUGAAGAAGGCCUUCGGGUUGUAAAGCUCUUUCGGCUGGGAAGAAAUCGCACUCUCUAAUACAGGGUGUGGAUGACGGUACCAGCAGAAGAAGCACCGGCUAACUACGUG